rnacentral:rRNA from 1 species
UACGUAGGUGGCAAGCGUUAUCCGGAUUUAUUGGGCGUAAAGGGAACGCAGGCGGUCUUUUAAGUCUGAUGUGAAAGCCUUCGGCUUAACCGGAGUAGUGCAUUGGAAACUGGGAGACUUGAGUGCAGAAGAGGAGAGUGGAACUCCAUGUGUAGCGGUGAAAUGCGUAGAUAUAUGGAAGAACACCAGUGGCGAAAGCGGCUCUCUGGUCUGUAACUGACGCUGAGGUUCGAAAGCGUGGGUAGCAAACAGA